rnacentral:rRNA from 1 species
AUAGCGUAUAUUAAAGUUGUUGCAGUUAAAAAGCUCGUAGUUGAACUUCGAACCUGGUUGGAUGGUCUGCCUUAACGGUACGUACUGUUCGGCCGGGUUCUACCUCUUGGUGAGCCGGCAUGCCCUUUACUGGGUGUGUCGGGGAACCAGGACUUUUACCUUGAGAAAAUUAGAGUGUUCAAAGCAGGCAUUUGCCCGAAUACAUUAGCAUGGCAUAAUAAAAUAGGACGUGCGGUUCUAUUUUGUUGGUUUCUAGAGUCGCCGUAAUGAUUAAUAGGGAUAGUUGGGGGCAUUAGUAUUCCAUUGCUAGAGGUGAAAUUCUUGGAUUUAUGGAAGACUAACUUCUG